rnacentral:ncRNA from 1 species
GUGUUGUAUGAAAGGAAAGGACAAUAGUCCCCUUGAAACCAGCCUGAGCAAGGUCUUCCAAGGAUGGAAGAGGCCCUUGGGUCUGAGAACACGCACACAGUUAAGGCACUGCCACCUACUCAUGGCAUCUAACCAUUUUUA